rnacentral:rRNA from 1 species
GAGGAAAAGAAACUAACAAGGAUUCCCCUAGUAACGGCGAGUGAAGCGGGAUGAGCUCAAAUUUAAAAUCUUGCAGCCUCAGGUUGUACGAGUUGUAGUCUAGAGAAUUGUUUUCCGCGUUGGCCUGUGUACAAGUCCCUUGGAACAGGGCGUCAUAGAGGGUGAGAAUCCCGUCCUUGACACAGACUACCAAUGCUUUGUGAUGCGAUCUCGAAGAGUCGAGUUGUUUGGGAAUGCAGCUCAAAAUGGGUGGUAAAUUCCAUCUAAAGCUAAAUAUUGGCGAGAGACCGAUAGCGAACAAGUACCGUGAGGGAAAGAUGAAAAGCACUUUGGAAAGAGAGUUAAACAGUACGUGAAAUUGUUAAAAGGGAAACGAUUGAAGUCAGUCAUGCUCUCCGAGACUCAGCCGAUUCUGUCGGUGUACUUCUCGGUUGGCAGGCCAGCAUCAGUUUCGAUCUGUGGAAAAGGUUGGAGAGAAUGUGGCAUCUUCGGAUGUGUUAUAGCUCUCCUUCGAAUACAUAGAGCGGGACUGAGGAACGCAGCGUGCCCUUUAUUGGGUUGGCCUUCGGGUACAUACACGCUUAGGAUGCUGGCAUAAUGGCUUUAAACGACCCGU